GUGGGGAAUAUUGGACAAUGGGCGAAAGCCUGAUCCAGCCAUGCCGCGUGUGUGAAGAAGGUCUUCGGAUUGUAAAGCACUUUAAGUUGGGAGGAAGGGCAGUAAGUUAAUACCUUGCUGUUUUGACGUUACCAACAGAAUAAGCACCGGCUAACUUCGUGCCAGCAGCCGCGGUAAUACGAAGGGUGCAAGCGUUAAUCGGAAUUACUGGGCGUAAAGCGCGCGUAGGUGGUUUGGUAAGAUGGAUGUGAAAUCCCCGGGCUCAACCUGGGAACUGCAUCCAUAACUGCCUGACUAGAGUACGGUAGAGGGUGGUGGAAUUUCCUGUGUAGCGGUGAAAUGCGUAGAUAUAGGAAGGAACACCAGUGGCGAAGGCGACCACCUGGACUGAUACUGACACUGAGGUGCGAAAGCGUGGGGAGCAAACAGGAUUAGAAACCCUAGUAGUCC
rnacentral:rRNA from 1 species